GAUGAACGCUGGCGGCGUGCCUAAUACAUGCAAGUCGAGCGAACGGACGAGAAGCUUGCUUCUCUGAUGUUAGCGGCGGCCGGGUGAGUAACACGUGGAUAACCUACCUAUAAGACUGGGAUAACUUCGGGAAACCGGAGCUAAUACCGGAUAAUAUUUUGAACCGCAUGGUUCAAAAGUGAAAGACGGUCUUGCUGUCACUUAUAGAUGGAUCCGCGCUGCAUUAGCUAGUUGGUAAGGUAACGGCUUACCAAGGCAACGAUGCAUAGCCGACCUGAGAGGGUGAUCGGCCACACUGGAACUGAGACACGGUCCAGACUCCUACGGGAGGCAGCAGUAGGGAAUCUUCCGCAAUGGGCGAAAGCCUGACGGAGCAACGCCGCGUGAGUGAUGAAGGUCUUCGGAUCGUAAAACUCUGUUAUUAGGGAAGAACAUAUGUGUAAGUAACUGUGCACAUCUUGACGGUACCUAAUCAGAAAGCCACGGCUAACUACGUG
rnacentral:rRNA from 1 species